UUCUUUUUGGAGUUAAAAGAACACAACCGAAAAAAGUGUGAAAAUGUGGGGAAAAACUUUUUCGAAGUUUUUCUAUCUGAACAAUUUUCCUGGAAGUGGGCCAUUUGAGUAAUGCCAAAGUGACAUCUCUAAAUUAUUGUUCUAUAAACCUUUCCGUUUUUCUUAUGAUUGUUCUAUGUUCUAUAAACAUUCGGCAGAAUCAAAAUUGGCAAAGUUUGUCGAAGACAUUAUAGUCCCUCCAAGGAUGGUUGACAUAGUCGUUGACGGAGAGUGGAAUUUGUCCAGAUCAAUGAUGAAUACAUGAGAACUCUUGAGAUUCUGAGUAAGAAGCUGAAGUUUGUAGAAGUGGAUCCUAUGGUCAAAGCUUCAAAAGCUCUGAAAGACGUUCAACCUGAGCUUGAAAAAG